GCGCGCCGCGGCCUGGCUGGCGGCGCUGCUGGCCGCGCUGCUGCUCGUCAACGCGCUGCUCUACUGGAAGCUCUACCACGCCGACAGGACGCCCUACGCCUUCGAUCUAGAUGAUUUACAGAACAGGAUGAGCACAGUGAGCGGGUCGCAGAUGUCGGACUGGUCCAAGCUGCUGGAGCAGCACACGCACCGCCAGCGCGGCCAGCUGCUCGCCUGGCGCGACGCCUUGCAGCGGGCUGUCGCACACCUCGCGCAGACUGAGCAAGCACUAGCGAAAUUACUGGAAACUAUAAAACCUUCGCUAGAGAAAGCGCAACGCGACGCGGAGAACAGAGACGAGCUCUGAGCGGCGCGCGGAGUGUGACACAUACACAGCGGGACUGCCCACACUACAGCUCUACAACAUUCAUUUACUCUACAAUUCCAUGCAAUACUAUGUGCUCGGUUCUACAUAAUCUAGCAAAGAGUUGAUUUGCACUCAACAGAACCAUCUAAAUAUCAAAAACAAUCAUUUUUAUAAGAUGACAGUACUAGUGGCAGAGAAAGAUCACCUGUACCGCCAUGAAAUAAGACUCCAAAUAUGUUCAGCGUUUCGUUAGACAUUGCUCAAACUAUGUAAGGUAAUCGUUUAAGCUAUGAUAUGACCGAUGUUGAUCAUACAACCACUGUGUAUGUACAGUCACACGCUGCGAGGUAAUGUAAUAUAUUUUAUCCUAAUUCGUCUGUUAGAGGUUUUCUCGACAAUUCCUACCCCCGUUUCGGUUUAAUGUUCGUAAAAGCACACAGUCCAAUACUUAGCAACGAUUUAUACAUAAAGUAUAUCUUUUGGUGAGUGUAUUCCGUAACUAUUUAUUUAUUUGUUAGUCAAUUCUUAGCUCUGUCCAAAGUUUAUAGUAUGCUAAAAUUCUGUCAGUGUGUGUUCAGAAUUUAUUUGGUAUAUAACAACUCAACAAGAGAUGUAACUUUACAGAAUACUAAAUAUGGCCUCCUAUUUGAGAUGACCCCAGCACGUAAGAAAACCUCACAGAUCCCCACUGUGAUAAAGUAGAUACAAAUAAUAAUUUUAUUCCUCUAGUGAAUACUGUUUACCUUCGUGACGUAUGUACGCCAAGCGUUGUACUUCUCCUUUCCAGUUUACUUGCUAAUGUAAUUAAUUAUAAUUAUUAUAAUUAUGUAGAUUUAUUGUGUUGGAGGUGAAUGAGGCCCCGGGUACCUUAUUAAUUAUUGUAAAUAUAAAUGCAAUAUUACGACUUAAGAUGUGAAUGGCUGUUUUAUACCACUUAAUUAUCUAAAUCAGAACAGCUUUCCUUUUGAAUGAUUUGAUAAUUACAGGUAUCUGUUCCAAAACUUUGAAAAGUGUUCAUAUUUAAAGGCACAUGUUUGCUUUUCUUUUCAACAAAACGAGAAAAUCACCCUUACCAGGUUCCUUGUAUUUUAAUUAUAAGACUUUGUUGUAUAUUUCAUAAUUAUGCUUUAAAGAUUAUGUGUUCGCCGAAUUAUCUGGCAAAUGUCAGUAGUUUGUUUCUAUGUAUAAUGUCAUAAGUAGGUAAGCAGUGGUGGUUACACAAGGUCGGGGUAACAUAAGUGCGUGUGAGUAAUAACUGUUACUGACUACCAGGUGUAGUUGUGUGUGUAGGGGGGCCUUAUUCACCUCGGUGUCGAGUCGCUGUACUAGAUGUCUGGAAUGAAUGCGUUUUAUGUAAAUUUAAUGAUCACAAUUUAAUAUAUUAUAAUUUAAAGUUUAGUUCGUGUGUGAAAUCCAGUACAGUGUAUACGAGGCUUAAGAUUAACGUUCAAAACGUAAUAAGUACUUAUGGCAGUUAUAUUAAAUGUAUGUACAUUCAAUAGUGCACACUAUUUAAUUGUUGCAUGAAAAUAUAUUUAUUACGGCUGGCUAACGCGGACUUACAUACUUGAGAGAACUUGUCAUUUUGCAACAUAAAUGUUAAAACAUGUACAGAUUAUAUUAAUAAAAAUAUUUAUUUAAUAUGUACAUAUUCUAGGAAAUAUUGUGCAUUGUUGAGUGUUAAUAAAAUUCGCAGGCGCAAUAAUAGAUUUAUAUUAAUAUAUCCAGUAAAGGCUUCGUAACCGGCGGUUGCUUCUAAACAUAAACGUCAAUAUAAUAGCCGCCCACAUAGGCGCCUGCAAACACCACUUACUAAAUGUACUUCACUUAUUUAUUUGUCGAUAAUUUUAAAUUAUUUAUCAGUUUUAUCACAAACUUAUAAACACGGUUUCCCCAAAUACAUAUUAGUAUGUAUGUCUAUCAAAGAUAUUGACAGCUCUACCAAAAAUUCUUAACCACACUCGGUAUUAGGUUUCGAUGAUUGCAUUUGAAGAGUUAGAUAUAUUGUUAAGUAAGGGUAUUGUGUAGUUGACUACCGCCAAACGUCGUGAUACGCGGCAUAGUGCUAAGAAAAUGCGUAUUUUUCAAUUCGUUUAGACAUGUAUCGAUUUAAUGCGUAUUCAAUUAAUAUUUUCUCCAUUGGUCUAGAAUUAUAUACCGUUUAAAGUAUGAAUGUGUAUAAAAACACUUAAGAGUGUACCUAAUAAAAUUACAAGAAUAAAGUUUAAAACAAUUUCUUUGUUUUGUAUUCUCUUUUCUAGCACAUAAUUGAUACAUGUCUGAUAUAGAUGUAAUAGUUUAAUUAUAUUUAAAACGAAUCUAUAAAUUAUAUGUACUAUAAUAAAUUUAAAAAUAUAUAAAAGAAAAUUAUCACAGUGUUGUUUAGAAUCAAAGAGUAUUAAAUGUAAGUAUGUCGAUGUUAUCAUCUAGAAAACAAAGGAAAAUAAUGUAAAUUUUUCAGUUGUAGUAAUGAUCUCUUUUUGUAAAAAUAUUUUACUACACCUAGUUACGUUUCGGUGCUUUAGUUUUAUUGAAAAAUGUAAUGUUUUUCGUUAUUUUUAAUUGAUGUUUGUAUAUUGAACAUGUCAAUUAUGUAUUUUAUUUAUUGGUAAAUCAUUGAAAGGAAUCCACGUUAUUUCAGAAGAUGCCUCAAGUUUUAUUUGCAUAUACUUUAGCGGGACACGUGUAAUGCCUUUAGAAUAAAUGAAUUGUGGAACAAUAUUGACUCAUCGCAGUUGUAAUAAAACUUCAUUCCAGAUGUGUGAAAUGAUCUGAACCUAUAGAUAAGGUGGAAUGGUGGGACAAAUUAUAUAUAUAGAUUCCUAUUAGAUAUACCUUUGUGCAUUUCUAAUGUGAAUGAAGUUGGUCUAGGAGCGGGCAGGAGUUCACAAUUGUUAUAGAGAAUGUCUGCCAUGAUGUCCUAAGUUCUCUAAACUAGUGCUUGAGAAACAUUCAUUUGUCUACGUUCAGUUCUUAGUGAAUGAGUAGCAAGUGUAGCAACUGUUUUUGAUCUUUCUCAAUACUGGCUGCAAUAAGUACGUUGCAUUUUGAGCUCUAUUCCGUGAACCUAGAGAAUAGUGUGUCAGUUUAGUGUAUUAUUAUUGCGUCUGGUAUAGAAAGCUCCCAAAGAAUUGCUCUCCAGACUACAGUACUUUGCUACAGGAAAUGGACGUUAUCUAAAAGUAGAACUUCGGACCUUGUUUGUGUGUAACCUGCUAACGCAAGAUCCCUUUUAUCGUGGGUUCAAUAAGCUCAAGUAAAAACUUGCCUACUACCUAUAAAUUUCCCUAACACUAUAUUUAUGAAGUAAACCAAUAAUGACACGAGUUUAUAUCGUUUACGGUCGAAUCAUUCGUGUAGUGAUGUGAGCGACAAUAACGAAUGCCCGCUCUUCAGUUCAUGCGCCGGUUUGAGCGCUAGCCAGAACUAAGGUGAAUUUAUUGCACAAUUGUAAUUCCAUUUUAGGUGUAAUGGAUUAUGUAAGUUAGACAAUUCUAUUCUCAGUAUUGAAUAAAUAUUUUAAUGAA